GGAUGUGAGCUCAGUGGCUGUGAUAUCUUCAGCCAGUUGAUCACUGUGGUUGAUUUGUCUGAUCCGGCUGUCCAUAUCCUCCCUCACCUCUCCAUGCACAUCCUACUCCACGUGGCUUGUCAGCUAAAGAGGACAAGCUCCCCUGAUAGGGGAGGGUGAGUCUUUGGUCAGGGUCAAGGAUGUGCAAGUAGCUGCAUGCUCCUGAUGGGGCCUCCAAAUCCGCUGUCAAGGAGACCUUCUGAAGCCCAGCCCCUUAGCCC
rnacentral:snRNA from 1 species